GACGAUCUGUAGCUGGUCUGAGAGGAUGAUCAGCCACACUGGGACUGAGACACGGCCCAGACUCCUACGGGAGGCAGCAGUGGGGAAUAUUGGACAAUGGGCGAAAGCCUGAUCCAGCCAUGCCGCGUGUGUGAAGAAGGCCUUUUGGUUGUAAAGCACUUUAAGUGGGGAGGAAAAGCUUAUGGUUAAUACCCAUAAGCCCUGACGUUACCCACAGAAUAAGCACCGGCUAACUCUGUGCCAGCAGCCGCGGUAAUACAGAGGGUGCAAGCGUUAAUCGGAAUUACUGGGCGUAAAGCGCGCGUAGGUGGUUAUUUAAGUCAGAUGUGAAAGCCCCGGGCUUAACCUGGGAACUGCAUCUGAUACUGGAUAACUAGAGUAGGUGAGAGGGGAGUAGAAUUCCAGGUGUAGCGGUGAAAUGCGUAGAGAUCUGGAGGAAUACCGAUGGCGAAGGCAGCUCCCUGGCAUCAUACUGACACUGAGGUGCGAAAGCGUGGGUAGCAAACAGGAUUAGAUACCCUGGUAGUCCACGCCGUAAACGAUGUCUACCAGUCGUUGAGUCUUUUAAAGACUUAGUGACGCAGUUAACGCAAUAAGUA
rnacentral:rRNA from 1 species